UACAGAGACUGCAAGCGUUAUUCGGAUUCACUGGGCGUAAAGGGUGCGCAGGCGGCCGAGUGUGUGAGGCGUGAAAGCCCGGGGCUCAACCCCGGAUCGGCCGUGGCGACUGUCGCGCUCGAGCACAGUAGAGGCGGGUGGAAUUCCGGGUGUAGCGGUGGAAUGCGUAGAGAUCCGGAAGAACACCGGUGGCGAAGGCGGCCCGCUGGGCUGUGGCUGACGCUGAGGCGCGACAGCGUGGGGAGCAAACAGG
rnacentral:rRNA from 1 species